rnacentral:tRNA from 1 species
UAUAUUUUGUUGUAUGAUGCAUUUAGAGUUUUGAUCUCUAAGGGUUUAGUUUAAUUCUAAAAAAUAUAA